GCACCCGUAGCUCAGUUGGAUAGAGCGCUGCCCUCCGAAGGCAGAGGUCACAGGUUCGAAUCCUGUCGGGUGCG
rnacentral:tRNA from 1 species